rnacentral:lncRNA from 14 species
GAGAAUGGUUCUCCAAAAGGCAUUGGGGUGGAAGGCCAGGUAGGCUCUGAAGCAUACACCUACACCCUUCCCUCCGUGCCGUUCCUGUCCUCAAAGAAGAAAAACUUAAACAAAUAAAUAAACAAAAAAAGCAGCCAAGCAGGGCAGCCGCACCCAGCGUCCUGGCUGCGGCAGGAACAUUCCGUCUCGGAGCUCCAGUGGGUCUCUGUUUGUGCAGGCAGAGCUGUCUGACGCCAUUGCCCGCAAGCUGGCAUUUCUGUCCUGGAGCCUCAGCGCCAUGGCCCAACCCUCCUCCGGGGGCUGGGCCUUUCAGGACUACGUCUGCAGGCAUUGUGCUGGUAAGCUGACAGCGGGUCAGUACUGGGGUCGGCUGAACCCUUCGCCAUCCUAGAGAUGUCACUGCCCCUCACCCCUCAGAGUAGCAGAGAGCUUGGAGAAGCCCUGACAGCAUCCUGUACACAAGGAUGCGGGAGAUUCCUCAUCUUGACUGCAGCCUGCUCUCCCUUCGACAGAGAGAAGCAAAGACCUCGUGCCACAGGGCCCAGUGGAGACAAGGUGAUGCCUCAUGCGGGACUAAAGGAAGAGUGGACACACAACUGCCUGGGCUGGUGAUCACCUUCAUUAACACCAAAUCCUCUCAACUGGGAUCAGUGCGUGGUGAGCGGCUCCUCUGAACCCUUCCAGCGUCGGGAACAGCCUGGACUGGCAGAAACACCCACAAACGUAAUUAGCCCAGGAAGCCGAGCUGCGUCACCCUCACCCUCACACGGGCUCUGAAGCUCCGGUGUUUGCGGCUUCGUGCUCAUUCCCAUGCUUAUUUUUUAAGGCUUCCUGUCUGGUUGCCUGUCUUGAGGUGUCCCUGGGGACUCAAAUGAUGUGUGUCGACAUUCUCCUGAAGUUACAGAAGUCCUUCAUGACCCAAAUUUAAAAUAUCAUCUCCCAGGGGCUGGGGAUUUAGCUCAGUGGUAGAGUGCUUACCUUGGAAGCGCAAGGCCCUGGGUUCGGUCCCCAGCUCCGAAAAAAAGAACCAAAAAAAUAAAAUAAAAUAAAAUAUCAUCUCCCCAGACAGAUAGAUGGCAGUGAUCUGCCUAUGGACUGGAUUGGUUCAAAUUAAAUUUGACCUAAGGAGGCCUCCAUAGGGGUGCCUGCGUCAGAUUUUGCAGCCUAGUUUGGUGGUCAACUAAGCCUAGUUAGUGGUUCUCUAACAAAAGCAGACCUGGCUGGCGGGUGUUGGCCCAAUCAAUCAUAGGCAGAGGUUGGGCCCAAGCCAGCCUUAGAUCUUGUACAUGAGGAGAUCCUCACUCCCUCAUCACUGUGCCUCCACCCUGCUGGAUUCCCAGGGCAUGUUGGCUGACAGAUCUGGGAACCUUUCUACUCUGAGGGAUGCCUGGGGGCAAGCGUCAAACCCAUUUUGCUUUCAUUUUGUCUUCAGGAAUUGGUUUUUAACUUUCUUUCUUUCCUUUUCUUUGGG